rnacentral:pre_miRNA from 1 species
UGAGAAGGAGUGGUAUGAGGGGAGGGGCCAGCAGGGCCCAGGGCAACCUUUCCCUCCAUGUGCCCAGAUCCUGCAUGC